CCUACGGGUGGCAGCAGUAGGGAAUCUUUCACAAUGGGCGAAAGCCUGAUGGAGCAACGCCGCGUGCAGGAUGAAGGCCUUCGGGUUGUAAACUGCUUUUAUAAGCGAGAAAUAUGAUGGUAACUUAUGAAUAAGGAUCGGCUAACUACGGGCCAGCAGCCGCGGUCAUACGUAGGAUCCGAGCAUUAUCCGGAGUGACUGGGUGUAAAGAGUUGCGUAGGUGGGAUAAUAAGUAGCUAGUGAAAUCUGGUGGCUCAACCAUUCAGACUAUUAGCUAAACUGUUAAGCUCGAGACCGUUAGGGGUAACUGGAAUUUCUAGUGUAGGAGUGAAAUGCGUAGAUAUUAGAAGGAACACCAGUAGCGUAGGCAGGUUACUGGGACGGUUCUGACACUAAGGCACGAAAGCGUAGGGAGCAAACGGGAUUAGAUACCCUAGUAGUC
rnacentral:rRNA from 1 species